CACGUGAGGGGCAAGCGUUGUCCGGAAUCAUUGGGCGUAAAGAGCUCGUAGGCGGCUCAGUAAGUCGGGUGUGAAACCCCCAGGCUCAACCUGGGGACGCCACCCGAUACUGCUGUGGCUAGAGUCCAGUAGGGGAGUGUGGAAUUCCCGGUGUAGCGGUGAAAUGCGCAGACAUCAGGAGGAACACCGGUGGCGAAGGCGGGUCUCUGGGCCGUAACUGACGCUGAGGAGCGAAAGCGUGGGGAGCGAACAGG
rnacentral:rRNA from 1 species